rnacentral:rRNA from 1 species
GCGCAGCAGUCGAGAAACUUUACAAUGUGCGAAGCACGAUAAGGGAACUCUGAGUGCCUCCUAAGGAGGCUGUUCUGAUGUCUAAAAGCAACAGAAGUAAGGGCUGGGUAAGACCGGUGCCAGCCGCCGCGGUAACACCGGCAGCCCAAGUGGUAGCCACGUUUAUUGGGUCUAAAGCGUUCGUAGCCGGCCAGGUAAGUUCCUUGGUAAAUUUAGCCGCUUAACGGUUAAGCUUUCAGGGAAUACUGCUUGGCUUGGGACUGGGAGAGGUCAGAGGUACUCCGGGGUAGGGUGAAAUCUAUUAAUCCCUGGGGACCACCGGUAGCGAAGGCGUCUGACCAGACCAGGUCCGACGGUGAGGGACGAAGGCUAGGGGCGCGAACCGGAUUAGAUACCCGU